GCACUCACUUUGGCAGCACAUAUACUAAAGUUGGAACAAUGCAGAGAUUAGCAUUUUCCCCCUGCACAAAAAUGACACACAAAUUCAUGACAUUUAGAUGAGGAAU